rnacentral:lncRNA from 1 species
UACAACUCAAGAGAGGCUGUGUUGAGUGCUGAGACCCUGAAGCCAAACUGCUAGAGCUCAAAACCAAAUAUAUGCCUUCUAGCUGUGUGAACCCAGGCAGGUCAUCCCGUCUCUGGGCCUCAUCUCUUCGUUGUAAAAUAUGAGAGCCAUUAUAGGGGCUAAGCAGUCAAGCAUACUGUCCUAUUUCAAGCCUUCCACAUGAGCCAAGCGGAUGACGAAGCUUGACCUUCAACAUCGAGGCACCCAGACAUAGAAGAAGGUGUGGACCUCAGUGACCUGCUUGUCCUGAUAGAUUCAGACACGAUGAGAUGUUAGCAGAUGACCCUCCUCCUCUCUCCCCUAUAUCCCAGUCUCCUGGACCUCCCACCACCACGACCUCCGACAGCUCAGCCUAACACCACCACCGCCAUCACUGCCUCUCAGCCUCCAGCGUGACUGCUGUCUUCCCGAUUCUGUCAAGAACAGCAACAACAAAAAUGACAACAAAAAAGCCAAAGAUCAUAAGAAGAUGCUCAAAGGGUGAAGAGGAAGGAAAUCAGAAGACAAGCCUCUGUUCUUCAUUACUUCCUGGGUCACGAAGGGCUCCCUCACUCUCCACCUCCCGCCCAAGAGUGCCCAUUUCCACGCCCAGAAACAGCAAUGGAGGUGCUAGGACCCAGCAAGUUUCAGAAUUCAUCUUCUCCCAUAAAACUAUGGCUCUUAGUUCUGGAGCAGAUAAAAAUAAAGGCAGAUGACGAAGCCCACAAACGUUU